GACGAACGCUGGCGGCGUGCUUAACACAUGCAAGUCGAACGGAAAGGCCCUGCUUUUGUGGGGUGCUCGAGUGGCGAACGGGUGAGUAACACGUGAGUAACCUGCCCUUGACUUUGGGAUAACUUCAGGAAACUGGGGCUAAUACCGGAUAGGAGCUCCUGCUGCAUGGUGGGGGUUGGAAAGUUUCGGCGGUUGGGGACGGACUCGCGGCUUAUCAGCUUGUUGGUGGGGUAGUGGCUUACCAAGGCUUUGACGGGUAGCCGGCCUGAGAGGGUGACCGGCCACAUUGGGACUGAGAUACGGCCCAGACUCCUACGGGAGGCAGCAGUGGGGAAUAUUGCACAAUGGGCGGAAGCCUGAUGCAGCAACGCCGCGUGCGGGAUGACGGCCUUCGGGUUGUAAACCGCUUUCGCCUGUGACGAAGCGUGAGUGACGGUAAUGGGUAAAGAAGCACCGGCUAACUACGUGCCAGCAGCCGCGGUGAUACGUAGGGUGCGAGCGUUGUCCGGAUUUAUUGGGCGUAAAGGGCUCGUAGGUGGUUGAUCGCGUCGGAAGUGUAAUCUUGGGGCUUAACCCUGAGCGUGCUUUCGAUACGGGUUGACUUGAGGAAGGUAGGGGAGAAUGGAAUUCCUGGUGGAGCGGUGGAAUGCGCAGAUAUCAGGAGGAACACCAGUGGCGAAGGCGGUUCUCUGGGCCUUUCCUGACGCUGAGGAGCGAAAGCGUGGGGAGCGAACAGGCUUAGAUACCCUGGUAGUCCACGCUGUAAACGGUGGGUACUAGGUGUGGGGUCCAUUCCACGGGUUCCGUGCCGUAGCUAACGCUUUAAGUACCCCGCCUGGGGAGUACGACCGCAAGGCUAAAACUCAAAGGAAUUGACGGGGCCCCGCACAAGCGGCGGAGCAUGCGGAUUAAUUCGAUGCAACGCGUAGAACCUUACCUGGGUUUGACAUGGAUCGGGAGUGCUCAGAGAUGGGUGUGCCUCUUUUGGGGUCGGUUCACAGGUGGUGCAUGCCUGUCGUCAGCUCGUGUCGUGAGAUGUUGGGUUAAGUCCCGCAACGAGCGCAACCCUUGUUCACUGUUGCCAGCACGUUAUGGUGGGGACUCAGUGGAGACCGCCGGGGUCAACUCGGAGGAAGGUGGGGAUGACGUCAAGUCCUCAUGCCCCUUAUGUCCAGGGCUUCACGCAUGCUACAAUGGCUGGUACAGAGAGUGGCGAGCCUGUGAGGGUGAGCGAAUCUCGGAAAGCCGGUCUCAGUUCGGAUUGGGGUCUGCAACUCGACCUCAUGAAGUCGGAGUCGCUAGUAAUCGCAGAUCAGCAACGCUGCGGUGAAUACGUUCCCGGG
rnacentral:rRNA from 1 species